rnacentral:rRNA from 6 species
UUGGUUAAGUUAGAAAGGGCGCACGGUGGAUGCCUUGGCACUAGGAGCCGAAGAAGGACGGGACUAACACCGAUAUGCUUUGGGGAGCUGUACGUAAGCGUUGAUCCAGAGAUUUCCGAAUGGGGGAACCCACUAUCUUUAGUCGGAUAGUAUCCUUACGUGAAUACAUAGCGUGAGGAAGGCAGACCCAGGGAACUGAAACAUCUAAGUACCUGGAGGAAGAGAAAGAAAAAUCGAUUUCCUGAGUAGCGGCGAGCGAAACGGAAAGAGCCCAAACCAAGAAGCUUGCUUCUUGGGGUUGUAGGACACUCUAUACGGAGUUACAAAAGAAAGUUAUAAAUGAAGCGGUCUGGAAAGGCCCGCCAAAGACGGUAACAGCCCGGUAGUUGAAAUGGCUUUCCCUCCAGAGUGGAUCCUGAGUACGGCGGAACACGUGAAAUUCCGUCGGAAUCCGGGAGGACCAUCUCCCAAGGCUAAAUACUCCCUAGUGACCGAUAGUGAACCAGUACCGUGAGGGAAAGGUGAAAAGCACCCCGGAAGGGGAGUGAAACAGUUCCUGAAACCGUGUGCCUACAAGUAGUUAGAGCCCGUUAAUGGGUGAUAGCGUGCCUUUUGUAGAAUGAACCGGCGAGUUACGAUUUGUUGCAAGGUUAAGCGGAAAAAGCGGAGCCGUAGCGAAAGCGAGUCUGAAUAGGGCGCAUAAGUAACAGGUCGUAGACCCGAAACCAGGUGAUCUACCCAUGUCCAGGAUGAAGGUAAGGUAAUACUUACUGGAGGUCCGAACCCACGCACGUUGAAAAGUGCGGGGAUGAGGUGUGGGUAGCGGAGAAAUUCCAAUCGAACUUGGAGAUAGCUGGUUCUCUCCGAAAUAGCUUUAGGGCUAGCCUCGAGGUAAAGAGUCAUGGAGGUAGAGCACUGUUUGGACUAGGGGCCCUUCUCGGGUUACCGAAUUCAGAUAAACUCCGAAUGCCAUGUACUUAUACUCGGGAGUCAGACUGCGAGUGAUAAGAUCCGUAGUCGAAAGGGAAACAGCCCAGACCACCAGUUAAGGUCCCCAAAUAUAUGUUAAGUGGAAAAGGAUGUGGGGUUGCUUAGACAACCAGGAUGUUGGCUUAGAAGCAGCCACCAUUGAAAGAGUGCGUAAUAGCUCACUGGUCGAGUGACCCCGCGCCGAAAAUGUACCGGGGCUAAACAUAUUACC